GUGAUUCCUGUUGGAAGUGGCGUGUUCCUGCCAGCAUUUGGCCACACGCUGGAGUCUGGUUUGUGCUGUUCCCCAAAGAAUUCGUAAAUUGGAGAUCCAGGAGUAAAUAGGGAAAUCGACACUGAUGCCAGAGACCAGGUCACGGCUCAUUGAGCGUCACACCAUUGAGAAGCACGGGGGUCGGUCACAACUGUACCUCCAGCGAUUCUGGAGGACACCCCUUUUUCAAACACUACGCGUAAAAAGAAGCUUUAAAGUGCAGUUUCAGACACCGUCACGGAAGAGACCUUCAGCCCUCUAAUGUCAACGAUACAAAACUAAAUUAAAAGCAUAGGACAGGCACCUUCAAAUGUA